CCUACGGGUGGCAGCAGUGGGGAAUAUUGCACAAUGGGGGAAACCCUGAUGCAGCGACGCCGCGUGAGUGAAGAAGUAUUUCGGUAUGUAAAGCUCUAUCAGCAGGGAAGAAAAUGAUGGUAACUGAUUAAGAAGCCACGGCUAAAUACGUGCCAGCAGGCGCGGUAAUACGGAGGGGGCAAGGGUUAUCCGGAUUUACUGGGUGUAAAGGGAGCGUAGACGGCAGCACAAGUCUGGCGUGAAAUGCCGGGGCUUAAACCCGGAACUGCUUUGGAAACUGGGCAGCUAGAGUGCAGGAGAGGUAGGUGGAAUUCCUAGUGUAGCGGUGAAAUGCGUAGAGAUUAGGAGGAACACCAGUGGCGAAGGCGGCGUACUGGACUGUAACUGACGUUGAGGCUCGAAAGCGUGGGGAGCAAACAGGAUUAGAUACCCUUGUAGUC
rnacentral:rRNA from 1 species